rnacentral:RNase_P_RNA from 1 species
CGGAGAGCCCCAGGCGGUCGCCUGCCGCCGUUCCGGCGGUAGGAGGAAAGUCCGAGCUCCGACGGGCAGCAUGCUCGCUAACGGCGAGGCGCGGCGACGCGACGGAAAGUGCAACAGAGAGCAGACCGCCCGGCCGGCCGCGUGCCGGCCGAGCAAGGGUGAAACGGUGCGGUAAGAGCGCACCGCCCGGGCGGCGACGUCCGGGGCACGGUAAACCCCAUGCGGAGCAAGACCAAAUAGGGAGGCGGAAGACGGGCCGCCCGUCCCGCCCGCGCCGCGGACGCGUCCGCGGCGCGGCCAGUCUCCGGGUAGGUCGCUCGAGCCCGGCGGCAACGCCGGGCCUAGAGGAAUGACCGCCAGCCGGCCGGCGCGAGCCGGCCGGACACAGAACUCGGCUUAUGGGGCUCUCCGGCAU